rnacentral:snRNA from 1 species
AGCUUUGCGCAGUGGCAGUAUCAUAGCCAAUGAAAUUUAUCCGAGGCAUGAUUAUUGCUAAUUGAAAGUUCACUUGUUUAAAGGUGCACAAUUCAAUGG